rnacentral:misc_RNA from 1 species
GGGAAAAAAAAAAAAAAGGGGGUUGGGGGGGGAAGGGGGAAGUUCUACAGUAACAAAAAAAUUUAGCAUUGAGAUUUUUGCCUAGAAAUAUAGAGAAUGCACAAAAAGGUUCUAUCUUUCUAAAGUACUUUAGGUGGGUACAACAGCCCCAGGAUGGGGUAAUAACUGCAACACGAAUAGCCAAAAGAACAAGAUAAGCAAACUCAACUGGAUAAAGAAACAUGAAGUAACCUUACAUAUUCUCCGCUGCACCUUCAACACCUCUUCAGUCCCUAAAAUAACUCGCCGAUAUUUUUCCACAUCCUCUGCUUGUUUUCUAAGCAUCACAGCCUUACCCUCUGCCUCCCCGAGCUUGUUCAGCAUUUGUUCUUGCUCACCAGCCAGGGCUUCUUGUUGUUCAAAGAAAGUGAGUUGAUCGCCUGCAACAACUCUCAACUUUUGUAUUGUCCUUGUGAGUAUCAAAUACUCAACCUCGGCCUCAAUCUUUUGCUUGAAGAGGCUCUCAAGCUCAGAUUCAAUCUCUCUAGAUUUCUCCUGCUGCAACUUUAUGGCGUUUCCUGAUUCUUCUGUUGGUGACUUGCCACUAAUCAAGGUAUUUUCGAGUUCUACAAUCCUGGACUCCUUUACAUUAAGCAUUGUGUUUGCCUCCUCCAGUUUGGUUUCCAAAUAUUUUACAUUUUCUGUCAAGCUUAACACUUGAGAUUCCAAGGAACUUGAUUGUCUGAUAUUUUCAGAAUCAAACUGGUCACAUGAACUUGACUCAUGGAUUCUCCUGUCAGUAGAAGUGGAAUCUACUGGAAUGCUGCUAAUUUUCCCAAUUUCCUCAAACUUUAGAACCUCACUUUCAAGGGCUUCCUGCACCGUUUGGAGGGUAACAAGUGACUCAACCAAAGGAUCUUGAUCUGCAGAGGGCUGAUGGCUCUCACUUUUCUCUUCCUUAUCUUCCCAAGGAGCAUCUGCAGCUAAAUCAUCUUGUGAAGCAUUUUCAACUUCUCCCACAUUCUCUUGGCCAUAACCAGUCUGAAUUUCCUCACAAAACUGUUGCUCACCUGCAUGGCCAUCAUCACUGUUUUCUCCAUCAUAAUUUUCACUUUGAUUUCCAUUACUAGUAACAGAAUAAACACCCUGCAUAAAGACAAAGUUGGAGCUUCUCGAGUCAGAUUCCAUGCUGGAAUGAGAGUUUUCCUUCUCCAUUUUGACCCUUUCUCCUCUAGGCUUCUUACUGCUUUCUGCCCGUCCCUUUCCUUGAGGAACUCGUUGAGUUGAGCUAGCCACACUCUUCCAACUAAAAUUCUUGCUCCUGUUCUUCUCCCUUAAGUAACCCAACACUGCAGGAAGCUCAUACCUCAACCUUGGAGCACUGGCGGCUGUUGAAGACUUGCUACUUCGAUCCUCACUAUUCUCAGAAUCUGUGCCCAGAGCAAAAGCAGGGCCAACUGCAAAUCUGGAUUCCAAAAUUGGACCAUGAGUCACCAACCCAUCACUGAAACCCACAUUUCUAAACAUAUUAGCUGAUCCAGUAGAACCCUCACUAUUUUGUUUGAUCUCAGCUGACAAUAAGUUUGUCUGUUUGAUCCCAGAACUAGACAAUCCUCGCUUCAAAACUUUACUGUUAUCAGCACCGGUAUUUGCAUCCUUAACAACCUCUCUCUUAAUUCGCCUCCACUUUCUCAACCCAUAUCCUUUUGUAAUAGUAGUUGACCCCACAACAGGAGAUUUAGCCGUUAUAGGGUUAAAAUUCACAGCACCUUCUUUCACUUGUCCAUCAAGAUGCUCAGUAUUAGCACCAAUAAUUCUGCUAGUAGCGAGGUUAUGAAUCUCAUUUGAACACGACCCAUUAGCCUUAAACUUGUCCUUAUUCUGAUCAAGACCGGAAACACUAUCCGGAUUGGUAGUCAAUUCAUUAUCUUCAACAGAUUCAAGAGCAGAAUUUUCACCUUCCAAAUCCAUAAAUCUUUAAAGGGUCUCUUUGGAUCAAGAUCAAGAACAACAAACUAUCAUUCCAGCACUGUAAUGUUCAAAUCAGCACAAUCUCGAAAUACAAAAAAGAAAAGACCAACCACUCUAAUUGGAUCAAUUUGUCUUUUUUUGCAUCAAACUCAAAAGAGUUCUGUUUUCUUCAAAACAAGUUCAUUAUCAUAAAGAUCAUCUCUUUAUCAAAUGAAAUUAAGAUUUUGGAAAUUAGAGCAAUAUAACUGUAAUUGACCCCAGAAAACGAAAAGAAAGUAAAAAUAAAGUAUAUAAGAAAGAAAGGACGCACCUUGUAUAAGUAUUCAUUAACAAAAAUGAAAGCAUUGAAUUGAAUGUUAAAACCCGGUGAUUAGAUGAUGAUUGCAGCUUUCCACAAUCAUAAAAUUCGAAGGGAAUAGAAACCCUAAACUACACUUGGAUUAGCA